CGAGGGGUNUUGNUUUUCGGACCAAGAGACCGGCGCACGGGUGCGUAACGCGUAUGCAAUCUACCUUUUGCAGGGGAAUAGCCCAGAGAAAUUUGGAUUAAUGCCCCAUAGUAUAUAGAGUUGGCAUCAACAUUAUAUUAAAGUUACAACGGCAAAAGAUGAGCAUGCGUCCCAUUAGCUAGUUGGUAAGGUAACGGCUUACCAAGGCUACGAUGGGUAGGGGUCCUGAGAGGGAGAUCCCCCACACUGGUACUGAGACACGGACCAGACUCCUACGGGAGGCAGCAGUGAGGAAUAUUGGACAAUGGGCGCAAGCCUGAUCCAGCCAUGCCGCGUGCAGGAUGACGGUCCUAUGGAUUGUAAACUGCUUUUAUACGAGAAGAAACACCGGUUCGUGAACCGGCUUGACGGUAUCGUAAGAAUAAGGAUCGGCUAACUCCGUGCCAGCAGCCGCGGUAAUACGGAGGAUCCAAGCGUUAUCCGGAAUCAUUGGGUUUAAAGGGUCCGUAGGCGGCCUUAUAAGUCAGUGGUGAAAUCUCCCCGCUCAACGGGGAAACGGCCAUUGAUACUGUAGGGCUUGAAUUAUUAGGAAGUAACUAGAAUAUAUAGUGUAGCGGUGAAAUGCUUAGAGAUUACAUGGAAUACCAAUUGCGAAGGCAGGUUACUACUAAUUGAUUGACGCUGAUGGACGAAAGCGUGGGUAGCGAACAGGAUUAGAUACCCUGGUAGUCCACGCCGUAAACGAUGGAUACUAGCUGUUGGGGGUAACUUCAGUGGCUAANCGAAAGUGAUAAGUAUCCCACCUGGGGAGUACGUUCGCAAGAAUGAAACUCAAAGGAAUUGACGGGGGCCCGCACAAGCGGUGGAGCAUGUGGUUU
rnacentral:rRNA from 1 species